AGGCAUUCAGGCAAUAAAACAAUGAAGCUUAAAGGAAAGGGGACAAAAGGGCAAAAGUAAGCAGGUAAAUGUUGUAUGAAAGGCGCAAACAUAUAAGGAAAACUAGGACAUAUUCUACUCCACGCCCUCAUAUCUCAUAUCUCAUAUCUCAUAUCUCACAUCUGAGGGGGAAAACAUGAAGAAGCUACAAAUACAGAGGGUGCAUGAGUAAGAAGGUAAAUACUAUACAGAAAGCACAAAAACAAAAACGGAUAAUAUAGCCUAAAGCCCUAGACCCUAAUGACACUUGUAUCUGUGGCCAUGUCCUUGGUAAAUGUCGUCUCCUUCAUGUCUAACCUCACGCUAUCAGUAAGUCCAGUUUACUUUUUGUCCUCUUCAUAUACUUUAUUUGUGUUAAGACCUACUUAAAUCUCUGUCAUAACAUGAUUUAUCAAUUUUGAAGGGUGAUACCACAACUUUCAAUUCCUGGUUCAAGAAUGGGACAUGGCAAAGAGAAUAAGAGCUUGAUAAGUUUUAUCUUGUAUCUCCAUGGUAAACAGAACUGGAACUUAGUAUCAUAGAGCUCAUUAUCAACUCCUGUCAACCUACUGGAUUAGAGGCUAGUUGAUUUCAGUAUAGCAGCACUAUGACAAAGCAUGUCAGUAAAUCAGUUAUUAUCAUGCCUCGUGUGUCUAGAUUUCAUAUCAGCAGUUGGGCAACUAUUUUUAUACAAUUCUGAAAUAGAUUGUUAUUUAGCAUUUUAAGGCUAGUAGAUAUGGCUCUCAGGUCAUGAAAACAUGACCUAUGGUGUUGUCUGUAUACUGCUGCACAUGAUGAGUAGUUUCUACUUUCUAUUCAUGGAAACUAAUAAAUGUCAUACACGUAAUACAAAGUGUAGGAAGUGGUUGCACAAACCUGCAUACUAAGAUCGAGGAGAUGUAGGUUCGUAACAACAGCUCUAACUAUACUCUCUCUAGCAGAAGAAAAUUCUUGUCUGUCCCAAAGUGUGAGAACUGCAAUAAUCGAAGCUGAAGCCCACUCAGGCUUGCCACCAGGAACAUCAGCCAGAUACAACAUGUUAA